UCACCCGCUCGAAAGUCCGAGCUCGGAGCUUGGACUUUCGGGCGGGUGAAAUUUCACCCGCUCGAGUUCAUGUUUCGAGCGCUGUAUCACCCUUCUCCGCAGCUCCUGCUCCCUCCUGCCUUCUCACCGUCUUACCACAGCACCACAUUAGAACGAGCUCGCCUCUCCGUUGCGUCGUCGUCUCUCCGCUGCACCGUCGCCUCUCUCCUCAGCUGAAUUCCACCGCCAGUUGCUCCUUACUCCUCCUCUCUCGCUCUCUGUCUUUUUUUACCAUGGAGCACGAUGAUCAGGGGGUUUGUUUCCAGUGGACAACCCGUGAUGACACUCUCUCUUUAUUCCAGAAUGCUUUGUGAUGGCAUGUUGCCUGCCCGUUUCUCUUCAAGGCUUGUGGAUCUCUAGCUAGGAAUGGUCUGGUGCUAGGGAAAUCACUCCAUUGUCAUGUUUUGGAACUUGGGUAUGCAUUGGAUCUGUAUGUUCUGACUGGGACCAUGCACAAGUAUGGGCAGUUAGGUUUUCUAGGGGAAGCAACGAAAUUGUUCGAUAAUAUGCCGUAGAGAGAUGUGGCUUUUUGGACUAGCCUGAUCACCUGCUACGCUGCUAAUGAUUGUUGGGAAGAGGGGUUAUUGGCGUUCAACUUUUUGAGGGAUGAUUGUAUGAAGUCAAAUUCAGCGACAUUGGUUUGCGUCAUGGGCUGUUGUGCUCAGCUGGGUGCGUUGGACCAGGCACGAUGUUUGCACUCGGUUUUGGAGAAAUUGAGCAUCAAAUUUGAUGUCUUUGUUGGCAAUUCUCUUGUUGAUUUGUAUGCGAAAUGUGGGAGGAUAGACUAUGCUCGUCAAGCCUUUGAUGAAAUGCCCAAGCGAGACUCAUUCUGAGCCGGAUGCAGUCACUUUUUUGGCAAUCCUUGGCAUCUGUCAAGUUGAUUGAAGCAAUGAGAUCUACAGCAAGUUUCCUGCAAUCCUUGGCAUCUGUCAAGUUGAUUGAAGCAAUGAGAUCUACAGCAAGUUUCCUUGAUGCAGUUGACGAACAAGCUCCAUCGCUACAUAUAUGUGAAAUUUUGUAGUUCAGUGAUGCCGGUGGAAGUGGUUUCUAGGUGAAAGGCUAUAUAGAUUGCUAAAAUCUGAUUCACAAUGUAAAAAUUGCUUCUCUUCUGAAGCUGUUCUUAUAUCUGUAAUGAUGUAAUGAGCCUUCAAGGUUGUGAACUCAUUUAGCUUGUUAGAUUCUGCAAAACUAAUCAGCUGGUUUAGUUUAA